rnacentral:snoRNA from 1 species
GCCAGUGAUGACAGUUUAUAAAAUGGUUGAUUAAAAAGCAAGUUUUUAAACUUGCAAAGUUAUUGAAAAUCAUGAACUUGGGCGGUCUGAGGC